AAGGUGCGAACCUUGAAUAAGGUA
rnacentral:siRNA from 1 species